rnacentral:rRNA from 1 species
GACGGGGACCCGCACAAGCGGUGGAGCAUGUGGUUUAAUUCGACCAUACGCGAAGAACCUUACCUGGCCUUGACGUAGUUAGAACCCUAAUAGAGAUAUAAGGGUGCUAGUUUACUAGAGCUAACAUACAGGUGCUGCACGGCUGUCGUCAGCUCGUGUCGUGAGAUGUUGGGUUAAGUCCCGCAACGAGCGCAACCCUCGUGUUUAGUUGCUAACAGGUUAAGCUGAGGACUCUAGACAGACUGCCUGGGUAACCAGGAGGAAGGUGAGGACGACGUCAAGUCAUCAUGGCCCUUACGGCCAGGGCUACACACGUGCUACAAUGGGAUAUACAAAGAGCAGCGAUACCGCGAGGUGGAGCAAAUCUCAUAAAAUAUCUCCCAGUUCGGAUUACACUCUGCAACUCGAGUGUAUGAAGUUGGAAUCGCUAGUAAUCGUAGAUCAGCAAUGCUACGGUGAAUACGUUCCCGGGUCUUGUACUCACCGCCCGUCA